rnacentral:rRNA from 1 species
UACGUAGGUGGCAAGCGUUAUCCGGAAUUAUUGGGCGUAAAGCGCGCGCAGGUGGUUUCUUAAGUCUGAUGUGAAAGCCCACGGCUCAACCGUGGAGGGUCAUUGGAAACUGGGAGACUUGAGUGCAGAAGAGGAAAGUGGAAUUCCCGGUGUAGCGGUGAAAUGCGUAGAGAUCGGGAGGAACACCAGAGGCGAAGGCGGCGACCUGGACAGAUACUGACACUCAACUGCGAAAGCGUGGGGAGCAAACAGG